GUCCUCUGGUCGUCAUCAUGCUCUACUUGGAGGUCUUCCCGACUUCCCAGCUCUUCUGAGAACAAAAAAUACAAAACGGGAAAAGAACGGUGGUUAGGCACAUGGAAGUACUUGACAAGCUAGGCAUUCCUUAUCUCAGGAUCAGGGCCAUUAGGCACUCUUCUCUUGCUACUGUUGAAAGGAUCCGAGUUCUUGUGACCUGUUACUACGGACCUAGCUGUUGACGAAGGCACAGCAAGAGCAGCCACAGGUGGUACAGAUCUUGCCCCUGCACAACGUGUUGUUGCCAUGGACACCAGGAGAGAAGUGAAUAACAAGAAUGUCAAGUUACUACUACGGUCUCUUCUCAUCUCUGCUACAAACUCUUACUGUCAAAACCUCUACAGUUACCAAGAGGCCAAAUCCUGAGUGGAAGAGAGGAACAAGGCAAUGGAUGGCUAAUUCGUUUGUGCAAAUUCUUAUACUGGGGGAAAUUUUAAGUCUCCUUUAAUUUUGCUUUGGUGUCUUUUUCUUUUAUCUGUGGAGUUUGGAAGUGCUUCUGUAGUGCUUUUUGUGGGACUGCGUAGAGGAGACAACAAAAGCAAGCAGGUACCGAACGUGAAGUGUUCAUUUGGAGCUCCCUUGCUUUGGGACCAACCGGGCCCACCCAUUCCUUCUUUGGACGCUGUUUUAAGAAAAUCAAAUCAGAUCGAGUGAGAUUAAUAUGGUAGUGUUUCAGAAA